rnacentral:lncRNA from 1 species
AAUACACUGAGCUAUGGGACUUGCUCAGACUCACCUCCCGUUAGGAAACAGAAUCUAAUAAGAAACAGACAGUACACAAUGAAGUCAUCAAGGCCUGGUGUCUGGUGCAGGUAAGCCCCACCCCACAGGAGCUGGGGCUGUGGAGACAGAAGCGAAGAAAUUGAGACAUGGAAACGCAGGAUGACAUCCAGUGUCCAUUCUCAGAAAGACUGUUCUCUGAGAUGUUCCCCAAGAUGCUGCGUGACUCACCCAUCUCUGGGGAGGCUGGCUGUGUGGUUGUUCCUCUUCGAGACAGGGCCGGGGCUCUUCCUGCCUUACCCUAGCACGACAGCGAAUAUGUGCUCUGCCUGCUUGCUCACUGUUGUUUGUGCUGGAAAGAACCCGGGCCCAGCCCAGAGCCACGUUGCAGGGCUCAGGACUGCUCUGAAACACUGCCACCUCGUGGGGUGAUGAGGGUUCUGUAGCCCAGGAGUCCUUCUAGCAUGUGGGGACUCUCGGGAC